GCUUCAUAAAAUGCCUCUGCUAAAGUGGAUUAAAUCAAGAAGUCCAGUAAUAUAGAAAGGCAAAAUUGUGAUUCUGAUGUUCAUCCAGGAAAUCUGAAAAUCUUCUGAUCUGGAAAUACUGCAAAUCUUGGCCUCCUUUGUCUGGCAUCGUUCUGAAAGCAGCACAAGCAAGUUGUGCAAAUGGAAGCUGGCACUUCAUGUCUAAAAGAAAAAAAGUUGAACCAGCACUUCUGAGCUCGGUAUUUAAGUCUCUGCAAGUAGGAUAAACCUGACGGUUCAAUGGAUCAGCCUUUGAGAAUCUUCUGUCUAAAAGCUGACUUAGAAAAAACGUGACAUGUAAUGAAUCAUUAAUAUCUACAGAUGCUGAUGCCUAACUAAUCCUUUAGGAGACAGACACCUAUGACAGCAAAAAUCCAGUCUAAGGGAGAACUGCACAAUAUAUCAAAAAAGUCUGAGCUGGUGGUCAAAUUUUCAUUAAGACAUUAGAACCCCAGCGGAUGCAAGUGUGUUUUCUUGGUGCAAAGCCUGACUUCUUUACUGUAUUUGUUGUGUCUCAAACACUGUCAGGGUGCCAGACUGUGUGCACCCAAGGGCCUUUUCUGUGGCUCCUGGUUAACAAUGAGAUGGGGAGGUGUAGAAGCAGACACCGUUCCACCCCUCCCCAGGCUAAUAGGGCCCUAUGAGUAGUGCCUGCCAAGAAGACACAGCGUGUGCACCCAACACCCCGUAAGAGUAACCUGAGGAAGGACUAUCCUGAAGAAGAACUACCGGACCACACGUUACUGAAGAAUUGCUGCUGGAGGAGUUGCUGCCAAGGUGGACCAUGUUUUCCUGAGGAACCACUGUGCCCCACUGGAGUGGGGAUGAUUUUUCUUUCCCCCCUGCUACUUCUUUCUCUCUUUCUUACUUACAUUAUUGUACCAUUUUUCUUGGCACUAUGGUGUAUUGGAUUGAAUCAGAGUUACGGUGUAGUUUGUUUACUGACCAUGACUGUGUUC